rnacentral:tRNA from 1 species
GGAGAUUUAGCACAGUGGUAGAGCGCUUGCCUAGCAAGCACAAGGCCCUGGGUUCGGUCCCCAGCUCCG